rnacentral:rRNA from 1 species
AGGCUUAACACAUGCAAGUCGAGGGGCAGCGGGGGCGAAGCUUGCUUCGCCUGCCGGCGACCGGCGCACGGGUGAGUAACACGUAUGCGACCUGCCCCCCGCAGGGGGAUAACCGGGAGAAAUCCCGACUAAUACCGCGUAACGCCGCUGGGCUGCAUGGCCCGGCGGCCAAAGGAAGCGAUUCCGGCGGGGGAUGGGCAUGCGGCGCAUUAGCUAGUCGGCGGGGUAACGGCCCACCGAGGCGACGAUGCGUAGGGGUUCUGAGAGGAAGGUCCCCCACACUGGUACUGAGACACGGACCAGACUCCUACGGGAGGCAGCAGUGAGGAAUAUUGGUCAAUGGGCGGGAGCCUGAACCAGCCAAGUCGCGUGAGGGAAGACGGUCCUACGGAUUGUAAACCUCUUUUGCCGGGGAGCAACGGGGUCCUUGCGAGGGCCCGAUGAGAGUACCCGGAGAAAAAGCAUCGGCUAACUCCGUGCCAGCAGCCGCGGUAAUACGGAGGAUGCGAGCGUUAUCCGGAUUUAUUGGGUUUAAAGGGUGCGUAGGCGGGCUGUUAAGUCAGCGGUCAAAUGUCGGGGCUCAACCCCGGCCUGCCGUUGAAACUGGCGGCCUCGAGUGGGCGAGAAGUAUGCGGAAUGCGUGGUGUAGCGGUGAAAUGCAUAGAUAUCACGCAGAACUCCGAUUGCGAAGGCAGCAUACCGGCGCCCGACUGACGCUGAGGCACGAAAGCGUGGGUAUCGAACAGGAUUAGAUACCCUGGUAGUCCACGCAGUAAACGAUGAAUGCUAGCUGUCCGGUUCUACGGGACUGGGUGGCACAGCGAAAGCGUUAAGCAUUCCACCUGGGGAGUACGCCGGCAACGGUGAAACUCAAAGGAAUUGACGGGGGCCCGCACAAGCGGAGGAACAUGUGGUUUAAUUCGAUGAUACGCGAGGAACCUUACCCGGGCUCAAACGCCAAAGGACAGCCGUUGAAAGGCGGCCUCCCUCCGGGGUCUUUGGCGAGGUGCUGCAUGGUUGUCGUCAGCUCGUGCCGUGAGGUGUCGGCUUAAGUGCCAUAACGAGCGCAACCCCCAUCGACAGUUGCUAACGGGUAGAGCCGAGGACUCUGUCGAGACUGCCGGCGCAAGCUGCGAGGAAGGCGGGGAUGACGUCAAAUCAGCACGGCCCUUACGUCCGGGGCGACACACGUGUUACAAUGGCCGGUACAGCGGGAUGCCAGGGCGCGAGCCCGAGCGGAACCCGAAAACCGGUCUCAGUUCGGAUUGGAGUCUGCAACCCGACUCCAUGAAGCUGGAUUCGCUAGUAAUCGCGCAUCAGCCACGGCGCGGUGAAUACGUUCCCGGGCCUUGCACACAACGCCCGUCAAG